AAAUUGAAGAGUUUGAUCAUGGCUCAGAUUGAACGCUGGCGGCAGGCCUAACACAUGCAAGUCGAACGGUAACAGGAAGCAGCUUGCUGCUUUGCUGACGAGUGGCGGACGGGUGAGUAAUGUCUGGGAAACUGCCUGAUGGAGGGGGAUAACUACUGGAAACGGUGGCUAAUACCGCAUAACGUCGCAAGACCAAAGAGGGGGACCUUCGGGCCUCUUGCCAUCAGAUGUGCCCAGAUGGGAUUAGCUUGUUGGUGAGGUAACGGCUCACCAAGGCGACGAUCCCUAGCUGGUCUGAGAGGAUGACCAGCCACACUGGAACUGAGACACGGUCCAGACUCCUACGGGAGGCAGCAGUGGGGAAUAUUGCACAAUGGGCGCAAGCCUGAUGCAGCCAUGCCGCGUGUAUGAAGAAGGCCUUCGGGUUGUAAAGUACUUUCAGCGGGGAGGAAGGUGUUGUGGUUAAUAACCGCAGCAAUUGACGUUACCCGCAGAAGAAGCACCGGCUAACUCCGUGCCAGCAGCCGCGGUAAUACGGAGGGUGCAAGCGUUAAUCGGAAUUACUGGGCGUAAAGCGCACGCAGGCGGUCUGUCAAGUCGGAUGUGAAAUCCCCGGGCUCAACCUGGGAACUGCAUUCGAAACUGGCAGGCUUGAGUCUUGUAGAGGGGGGUAGAAUUCCAGGUGUAGCGGUGAAAUGCGUAGAGAUCUGGAGGAAUACCGGUGGCGAAGGCGGCCCCCUGGACAAAGACUGACGCUCAGGUGCGAAAGCGUGGGGAGCAAACAGGAUUAGAUACCCUGGUAGUCCACGCCGUAAACGAUGUCUACUUGGAGGUUGUGCCCUUGAGGCGUGGCUUCCGGAGCUAACGCGUUAAGUAGACCGCCUGGGGAGUACGGCCGCAAGGUUAAAACUCAAAUGAAUUGACGGGGGCCCGCACAAGCGGUGGAGCAUGUGGUUUAAUUCGAUGCAACGCGAAGAACCUUACCUGGUCUUGACAUCCACGGAAGUUUUCAGAGAUGAGAAUGUGCCUUCGGGAAC
rnacentral:rRNA from 2 species